GGGGGCGUAGCUCAGAUGGCUGAGAGCUCGCUUAGCAUGUGAAAGGUACGGAGAUCGAUUCCCCGCGCCUCCA